UACGUAGGGCGCAAGCGUUGUCCGGAAUUAUUGGGCGUAAAGGGCUCGUAGGCGGUUUGUCGCGUCGGGAGUGAAAACUCAGGGCUUAACCCUGAGCCUGCUUCCGAUACGGGCAGACUAGAGGUAUGCAGGGGAGAACGGAAUUCCUGGUGUAGCGGUGAAAUGCGCAGAUAUCAGGAGGAACACCGAUGGCGAAGGCAGCCCCCUGGGUCAAGACUGACGCUCAUGCACGAAAGCUAGGGUAGCAAACGGG
rnacentral:rRNA from 1 species